GGAGGUGUGGCUCAGUGGUACAGCACUUGCCUAGCAUGCAUGCAGCACUGAGUUCAAUCCCCAGCACUGCGA
rnacentral:tRNA from 1 species